UUUGCGGCCACAACAUGUUGAAACACCAGUCCAAGUAAGAUCACAGAAGUUAAGCAACACCGAGCCUGGUCAUUACGCAGAUAGGUGACCGCCUAGGAAUAGCAGGUGCCGUAAG